rnacentral:rRNA from 1 species
AACGAACGCUGGCGGCAGGCUUAACACAUGCAAGUCGAACGCGCCCUUCGGGGCGAGUGGCAGACGGGUGAGUAACGCGUGGGAACCUACCUUUUGGUACGGAAUAACUCAGGGAAACUUGAGCUAAUACCGUAUGUGCACUUCGGGGGAAAGAUUUACCGCCAAAGGAUGGGCCCGCGUCGGAUUAGCUAGUUGGUGGGGUAAUGGCCUACCAAGGCGACGAUCCGUAGCUGGUCGGAGAGGAUGAUCAGCCACACUGGGACUGAGACACGGCCCAGACUCCUACGGGAGGCAGCAGUGGGGAAUAUUGGACAAUGGGGGCAACCCUGAUCCAGCCAUGCCGCGUGAGUGAUGAAGGCCUUAGGGUUGUAAAGCUCUUUCGCCGGUGAAGAUAAUGACGGUAACCGGAGAAGAAGCCCCGGCUAACUUCGUGCCAGCCGCCGCAGUAAUAC